AAUAAUUUUUAUUUUUGCGAUGGACCACAUGCUUGGCUUGAUCCCCCUCUGAUCAGCGCAGCGAAGCCCGCGAUAGCCCAGUCAGUACUAGCGUGAGAGAUCAGCUGGGAAUACUGGGUGCUGUAGUUU
rnacentral:rRNA from 1 species